rnacentral:rRNA from 1 species
GGGGGGGGGGGGGGGGGGGCGGGGGGGGGGGGGGGCGGGGGGGGGGGGGGGGGGGGGGGGCGCGGGGGGGCGGGACGCGGGGGGAGGUGCCGGUAGGGUCGGGAUAACGCCCCGAAGGGGGGGCUAAUACCGGGUAAUGUCUGCGGACCAAAGAUUUAUCGCCUUUGGAUGGGCCCGCGUUGGAUUAGCUAGUUGGUAGGGUAAAAGCCUACCAAGGCGACGAUCCAUAGCUGGUCUGAGAGGAUGAUCAGCCACACUGGGACUGAGACACGGCCCAGACUCCUACGGGAGGCAGCAGUGGGGAAUAUUGGACAAUGGGCGAAAGCCUGAUCCAGCAAUGCCGCGUGAGUGAUGAAGGCCUUAGGUUUGUAAAGCUCUUUUACCCGGGAUGAUAAUGACAGUACCGGGAGAAUAAGCUCCGGCUAACUCCGUG